UACCAGUAUGUAAGCAAUAAUGUACGUGCAAAUUCGAUCAGGUCCGAAAGGAAGCAAUCGUAGCUCGAAUCAAUAUGUGCUAUGCAUACUGGUGUAU
rnacentral:SRP_RNA from 0 species